rnacentral:rRNA from 1 species
CCCUUAGAUGUUCUGGGCCGCACGCGCGCUACACUGAUGCAUUCAACAAGCCUAGCCUUGACCGAGAGGUCCGGGUAAUCUUUGAAACUGCAUCGUGAUGGGGCUAGAUUAUUGCAAUUAUUAAUCUUCAACGAGGAAUGCCUAGUAAGCGUGAUUCAUCAAAUCGCGUUGAUUAUGUCCCUGCCCUUUGUACACACCGCCCGUCGCUCCUACCGAUUGAAUGUGUUGGUGAGGAGCUCGGAUUGGCAGCAGUUGGUGGUUCGCCACCGGCUAUUGCUGAGAAGUCCUCCAAACCGCCCCAUUUAGAGGAAGGAGAANUCGUAACA